CUACAGCCUCCCCCUUCACACCUUGCAGCUGCCGCCGCCAGCCUCUCUCCGGUGCCGCCGUCGCACCACCACCACCUCCGGCGGUGAUUCCUUUCUCCUCCUCAUCUCUCUUUCUCCCUUCUCUCCCUCCUCUCUCUCUUCUCUCUUCUCUCCCUCUUCACCGCCGGCAUGCAGAGGCAGCGGCUUCGCCGCCCUCCUCCCGGCAGUCCGGCCGUCUCCGGACAGCAGCAUACCUGUAAUCUUUCUCUCCUCUCUUCUCUCCCUCUUCACCGUACCACCGCUGCCGAGGAUCCGCCUCCGUCGCCCAGCUUCCCCUCCUCCACUUCUUCCCUUUCUUUCUCUUCUCUCCUACCUCACACCGCCGCCGCGGCUAUUGUGCAUGCACAGGCAGUGAUGCUGAAGUCACAACUUCCGCCACCGUAUGCGGUAAGUAACGCCGCCUUCCGCACUCGCCGGAUCCCGACCGAUUUGUAAAGACCUUGAACUAAUUAAUGGCUAUGAGGCUUGUGGGGCUGCCAUCGCCGUCGGAGAGUCUCCGAAGCAACUGUCGGAACAUGCCACCGAGAUAACUUCCUAACUUUCAAUUAUUAUAGUCUUAAGACUUGUGUUGGCCAUCUUAUGAGUUUGAUGCAUAUUUUGACAUUUUUAGAACACUUUGUAGUCUAAAAUUUUGCUCGUUUGUUUUGGCUAGAUUCUAAAUCUCAAUUCGAAUGCUAUGCAUGCUUUGAUGUAAUAAAAAAUUAGAGAGGACAUGUAUUCCAUACCUUUCAAGUGCCAACAACCUAUAUUCUUUUACUUCUUUUCUUCUUGAGUUUGUUUGUGAUUGUGACGUGGGUGGGUAAAAAUGAUUGUGAUAUAUAUAUACAUACACAAAAGAUAUGGAAGAUGCAGGGAACCUUAUCUUUCAAAAUAUUCUGUCAGGAGAUCUUUCAAAAUAUUCUGUCAGGAGAAGGAUGAUGAUUUCUCUGCAAGCCAUUAAUGCAGCAUUAAAUGCUGCAAUGACACUUAUUCUUCUCGGAUGUCUUUUUUUUAUAUUAUUUUUUUUGUAUUUUACUUGUUUAUCAAUUUAAUUAUUUGAGUAUUUGUUUACUUAAUCAUUUAAUUUGGUGUAGGUAUAAUCGGUUCAAGUUUGUGGCUGUCCGCGUUGAAGUAACCGAUUUUCGUAGAACGCAGGAUGUAAAGAUUAAAUUUUGUUGGACUUUUGUUGGAUGUAUCGGACAUUAAAAUUUUGAUUUUUGGAUCUUAUUUAUUUAUUUAUUUAAAUUUAUUAUAUUCUAAUAGGUGAAAUAUAUUUACGUGUUCUA